rnacentral:rRNA from 1 species
ACGAACGCUGGCGGCGUGCCUAAUACAUGCCAGUCGAGCGGACGAAUCGAAAGCUUGCUUUUGAUUCGUUAGCGGCGGACGGGUGAGUAACACGUGGGCAACCUGCCCUGUAGACGGGGAUAACACCGAGAAAUCGGUGCUAAUACCGGAUAACACGAAAUGUCGCAUGACGUUUCGUUGAAAGACGGCGCAAGCUGCCGCUACAGGAUGGGCCCGCGGCGCAUUAGCUAGUUGGUGAGGUAACGGCUCACCAAGGCGACGAUACGUAGCCGACCUGAGAGGGUGAUCGGCCACACUGGGACUGAGACACGGCCCAGACUCCUACGGGAGGCAACAGCAGGGAAUCUUCCGCAAUGGACGAAAGUCUGACGGAGCAACGCCGCGUGAGCGAAGAAGGCCUUCGGGUCGUAAAGCUCUGUUGUUAGGGAAGAACAAGUAACGCAGUAACUGGCGUUACCGUGACGGUACCUAACGAGAAAGCCACGGCUAACUACGUG